CAUCUACUCCCUCCAUUCGGAAUUACUUGUCUUGGAAAUGGAUGUAUCUAGAACUAAAAUACAUCUAGAUACAUCCACUUUUACGACAAGUAAUUCCGAACGGAGGGAGUAGCAU
rnacentral:pre_miRNA from 1 species